CAAGAAGGCUGCUGUUAAGGCCACAAGAGUCCCGACCACCUUGGAGGGGAUGAUGCAGGCAAUGCACUUACCAUAAUCACCGACCAAAAAGUGACAUCCCCAUCCUGCAACUAUUUUUGUAUCCCCACGAAAUUCCACGGGGCUGCAUCCACUGAUAGGAGAAGGCACACUUCUAAAAUCAGGAGAGGGUAUCCAGGAACAAGGAACAAACAUGAAAAAUGAAUCCGUAGCCUGGCCACACUGGUUUUAACUCCACAGGCCUGAAGACGCAAGCAGAAGAGACUCAGGAAAGCCAAGGACUGAGCGAAUUCACAAUGCAAGCAGGAACAUCAGAAGGCAAAUUAGGGCCCACAUGGUUUCGGUUUUAAUGUUCUUCGUUUUGUUUUGUAUUUUUCUUUAGAGAUGGCAUCCUGCUCUGUUGCCCAGGUUAGAGUGCAGUGGCUCGAUCAUAGCUCACUGCAGCCUUGAGCUCCUGGGCUCAAGCAGUCCUCUUGCCUCAGCCUCCUGAAUAGCUGGGACUACAGGUAUGUGUCACUGAGCCUGGCUUGUUGUUUUGCUUUCUAAGACCACAUUUACAUUAGCC
rnacentral:lncRNA from 10 species